AGACCAAGGCCGAGUAGUGCCUGGCGGGGCGUGUUGACGUGUGUGUGUGUGUGUGUGUGUUGGUGAGCAGCGUUCAUUGCAAGGUGUGUUCCUCCAUAUUUACCGCAUAAAAUGAAGACAAAGAUUCUUGUGUUGCCCUGUAAUGUGUUGUUCUAUGGCUGUGUUGUUGUCAGUGCUAAGAGGCUGGGGGAGGGAGAGGCUUAGUGAAGCAGACUAUGGUGAUGCCAAGGUUAUUUACUUUGUUGAAUCUCGUCGACUACGGACACAGCUGAGGUGGACCUCCGCUGCUUCCCACUGGCUCCUCUCCUCUUGCUGAAGGGAAACAACAAAGGAGAAGGGAGGAACAUGCCAUCCCAACCCCCAGGCAGUACAGAGUGUGAUUAUACAACUAGUAAUACAUGUGGAGGCAGUACCAAGAAACGAUAAAGACACAAUGGCAGGAAUGAAUGCACAACAAGGGAGGGGGGCGGUACCUGCCGGCCUCCCCCUGGGCAAUGAUGAUGUGCUGUCCGUGGCAGUGUUCACCCACGAGGCGCCCCAGCUGGUGAUGCUGUGCCGGGUGUGUUGUUCCCUGAGCAGUAAUUAUGCUGUGCUCCAGCACUGGCGGCAGUGCUUCCAGACAGUGGCGUAUAUAGAUCCAUGGAGAGGGGGGGGCCACAGUCACCCGGCCCAUAGGAAUAAAUCUAGGAUUUUUCAAUGUGUGAGCAGCGACCAAAACGAGCCCUAGAGUUGGGGGUUUGGUGAAUAUUUUUUAAAAUGAACCAUUUUAAGGGUUACUUUGUAGUCUCAAGAUCGGUAUAUUGCACAAUUAAUAUAUAUUA